rnacentral:rRNA from 1 species
AGAGUUUGAUCAUGGCUCAGGAUGAACGCUAGCUACAGGCUUAACACAUGCAAGUCGAGGGGAAACGACAUCGAAAGCUUGCUUUUGAUGGGCGUCGACCGGCGCACGGGUGAGUAACGCGUAUCCAACCUGCCCACCACUUGGGGAUAACCUUGCGAAAGUAAGACUAAUACCCAAUGACGUCUCUAGAAGACAUCUGAAAGAGAUUAAAGAUUUAUCGGUGAUGGAUGGGGAUGCGUCUGAUUAGCUUGUUGGCGGGGUAACGGCCACAAGGCGACGAUCAGUAGGGGUUCUGAGAGGAAGGUCCCCCANAUUGGAACUGAGACACGGUCCAAACGUCCUACGGAGGCA